GGGCGCUUAGCUCAGCGGUAGAGCACUUCGUUGACAUCGAAGGGGUCACAAGUUCGAACCUUGUAGUGCCCA
rfam:Sedimentitalea nanhaiensis strain CGMCC 1.10959 genome assembly, contig: Ga0079838_103